GGCGUGUAUCGAGCCCGCGCAAAAUUUGUACGCGCGCGAAGUUUCCCCAAUUCUCUCCCGAACGUGCGCGAAGACCCUCAUAUUCCCCAAUCCUCUCCCGUGUACACGCGCGAAGAUUUCCCCCCAAAUCCCACUCCAACGGUGAGAGCGCCGCCAAAAUAGCACGGGGGCACAGCUCAUCCAUAGCCGCGUCGCCCGUGCCCUCUUCAAGCCAUCGCCAUUGCAGGCCUGGGAUGUCGCGGCUGCCGCUGUAGAGGGGCCGCCGUCGCCGCUGCUGCUGCAGGGCUCCCGCGGCUGCCGCUGUAGAGGGGUCGCAGCCGCCGCUGCAGAGGGUCCGCCGCUGUGGAGCUUGACCGACCUGCCGCCCUCGACAACAGUUUCAGGCGGAGGUCUCCGUGCUGCUGCAACCCUGCCUCCCUAGAAGAAUCCUACCCUGCCUCCCUUGACUAGUACAUCCUCGAUCUGCAACCUACUCAACUAUGGAAAGGCGUCUUCUUCAACUUCAGAAUCAAGGCUCCAUUAGGCUGUAGGUCCUUCGUCUGCACCGUGCUGCCAUUUUUUCAAUUAUCCCGCCAUGUCUCUAGAAGAACAACAUGGUUGGAUUGUACAGUGGGUGGAAUGAACAAGGGCGCCAUUCUGAAGAGUGGGUGCGCAACACAACAACUUUUCUUGACCAUGUUUUUCAGAUUAUGCCUAAUGCUGACCGGUUUGGUGUGAAGUGCCCAUGCACAAAUUGUUGUAAUGGAGUCAGGCAAAAGAAAAGUCAGAGUGCACCUUUGUCAGUAUGUGUAAUUUUAGUUAUGUGUUCUGUGGACUUACUAAUGCAUUUCAAUUCAGUUUUACAGGAUGGCAAUUUCGCACCACCACCGCCGGGGGUCAUCCUCUACUAGCAGUGCUACUACAAGCCCUCCACCGGCGAAUCAACAAAUGAUGUUGAAAAUAUGGAUAAUACAUUGCAAGGAGUGGAAGAUGGAAUGUUUGGCGGCUUCUUUGAUGCAAAUGGUAAUGAUGCGAAUGGUGUUGCUACUGGAACUUUCUCCCCACCUAGUGAUGAUUUACCUACAUUUUUUAUAUCUCUCAUCAUGGUGAAGGAAGUGGUCUGAACUUUUUUUGUUGAUUAAUUGGAAGCAAAUGGACAAUUAUCCUUUUGGCCAUGCACUUGGUAUGGUUGUGAUGUCUUGGAUCAGUGACUUAUAUGAUGCAUGCUGUAUUAUUCCAGGCUACUAAUUGGCAAUCCUAGGUAUAGAUGACAUUUUGUGAGUCCUAGUUACUGAGCUAGAUGCCAUCUUUUGUAAAGAGUGGAGCUAGAUGCCAUCUUUUGUAAAGAGUGGAGCUAGAUGCCAUCUUUUGUAAAGAGUGGUACUAUUGUGUAAACUCUUCGUUGUUGUAAUGUAUAAUGAUGAAUGAUGGUGGUUAAAGUACAUAAUUUAUGUGAUCGUUC